GUGAGCUGGAGCACGAAACGCUGCUACGGCAGAGGAAACUCCUCCCUCCAUGCAGGAAAUAUGAUCCGGAGAUGGAUAAUCAGAGAUGGUUGGCAACGGAACAGAAAAAAUCUGACCUGGCGCACGAUGAUGGCAAAACCUGAGAUUUCCAGAGAAGGAAUGAAAAUCCGCCCCAUAUGGAGCAAAGCCAAACAGAACUAAAGGCACCUGCACCAAGUUCAGGUAGGCUGCAAAGCGCAAUAUCGUGAAAACAAAAGGAGGGUUACUCCCAGCACAC
rnacentral:RNase_P_RNA from 1 species